UAAGCGAGUAGUGAAAUGACGCGGCUCAACCGUGUGUCCAUUACUUGAACUACUAAGCUAGAACAUGAGAGAGGUGGCUGGAAUUCCCUGUGUAGGAGUAAAAUCCGUAGAUAUAGGGAGGAACACCGAUGGCGUAGGCAGGCCACUGGCUCAUUGUUGACGCUCAGGCACGAAAGCGUGGGGAGCGACCGGGAUUAGAUACCCCGUUAGUCCACGCCGUAAACGAUGGAUGCUA
rnacentral:rRNA from 1 species